UUAUCUCUCUCAAUAUUAAUUAAAUAGCCUUCAUAACUAAAGAUAAUAUAAUAAAUACAUAAAUCUGCUUCAUAUUAAGCAUAGAUCAAUCCUUUUAAAGAAAUUAAUUUUACUCGAGACAAAAUAUUAUUUUUCAAAAACCGCGCGCAUUUUUCAGUCAGUCACAUCCGCCCAUCCCCCACAGCUCACAGUCACGGGAUCACAGCAGGACGGCUUGCGACACGGUCACGGAAAAUAACAGCUGGACACAGACAAACUGGAGAGACGGCUGACAGGAAGAUGUCGUCAUCUCUAACCGUCACUCGCGCCACAGUUCUCAAGUAAGUGCAAAUGCAGCGAGGGGUCAUUUGCAACAAGACGGCUGAUACUAAUAUGGGCCUAAAAUAAAGGACAAUAAUGGCAUCAGCCAUUCAAGUUAUGAUCCUGGCAGAUCUACUACUAUCUGAAAAGUAGUCUCUGCAGAUAUUGUCAAGAUACACAAGAUGGAGCGUGGAGAGACAGGACAUGGACCACAGUUUUUCAGCACCCACACACCACACUCAAAUUCAUAUAGAAGUUCUCAAUUAUUAAAUGUUAAUAUGAUAGUUUAUAUUUAGCUGUGAAGUUAUAGUUCAUUGUCAUAAAUAUUAAACUACAUAUUAUUAUUAUUUUACAUGA